GACGAACGCUGGCGGCGUGCUUAACACAUGCAAGUCGAACGGAAAGGCCAUGCUCUUGUGGGGUGCUCGAGUGGCGAACGGGUGAGUAACACGUGAGUAUCAUCCACUUGACUGUGGGAUAACUUCAGGAAACUGGGGCUAGUAUCGGAUAGGAGAUCCUGCUGCAUGGUGGGGGUUGGAAAGUUUCGGCGGUUGGGGCUGGACUAGCGGCUUAUCCGCUUGUUGGUGGGGUAGUGGCUGACCAAGGCUUUGACGGAUAGCCGGCCUGAGAGGGUGACCGGGCACAUUGGGACUGAGAUACGGCCCAGACUCCUACGGUAGGCAGCAGGGGGGAAUAUUGCGCAAUGGGCGGAAGCCAGAUGCAGCAACGCCGCGUGCGUAAUGACGGCCUUCGGGGUGUAAACCGCUUUCGCCGGUGACGAGGCGUGAGUGACGGUAAUGAGUAAAGAAGCACCGGCUAACUACGUG
rnacentral:rRNA from 1 species